rnacentral:rRNA from 1 species
AGCAGCCGCGGUAAUUCCAGCUCCAAUAGCGUAUAUUAAAGUUGUUGCAGUUAAAAAGCUCGUAGUUGAAUUUCGGGAUCAAUAUAACGGUCAUGCCGUUGGUAUGCACUGUUAUAAUUGAUUUCUCACCUUCUGAAGAACCGUAAUGCCAUUAAUUUGGUGUCACGGGGAAUUAGGACUGUUACCUUGAAAAAAUUAGAGUGUUUAAAGCAGGCUCACGCUUGAAUACAUUAGCAUGGAAUAAUGAAAUAGGACAUCCGAUUCUAUUUUGUUGGUUUCUAGGAUCGAUGUAAUGAUUAAUAGGGAUAGUUGGGGGCAUUAGUAUUCAAUUGUCAGAGGUGAAAUUCUUGGAUUUAUUGAAGACUAACUACUGCGAAAGCAUUUGCCAAGGAUGUUUUCAUUAAUCAAGAACGAAAGUUAGGGGAUCGAAGACGAUCAGAUACCGUCGUAGUCUUAACCAUAAACUAUGCCGACUAGGGAUCGGAUGAUGUUAAUUUUUAAUGACUCAUUC